GACUCUAUAGUUCAACGGGAUAGAACGGUUUCCUCCUAAGAAUCAAAUGAUGGUUCGAGUCCAUCUAGGGUCACCA
rnacentral:tRNA from 2 species